CCACAAGGCCGUACCGCGUCCUGGAGCAUAUAAAUAUGUCCGCUGGUCAAUCAUGAGCAACAAUCUGACGAACAUGAAGCUGCUGGUGUCUGUCCUGUUGGUGGCUGCUGUGGUUGUGGUGUUGGUGGACGCAGGAGGUAAAGGCGGUGGGAAAGGAGGUGGCAGAGGUAGAGGCCAGUCAGGUGGCGGUGGCAGCAGUGGUGGCGG